GACGAACGCUGGCGGCGUGCCUAAUACAUGCAAGUAGAACGCUGAAGGAGGAGCUUGCUCUUCUGGAUGAGUUGCGAACGGGUGAGUAACGCGUAGGUAACCUGCCUGGUAGCGGGGGAUAACUAUUGGAAACGAUAGCUAAUACCGCAUAAGAGUAGAUGUUGCAUGACAUUUACUUAGAAGGUGCAAUUGCAUCACUACCAGAUGGACCUGCGUUGUAUUAGCUAGUUGGUGGGGUAACGGCUUACCAAGGCGACGAUACAUAGCCGACCUGAGAGGGUGAUCGGCCACACUGGGACUGAGACGCGGCCCAGACUCCUACGGGAGGCAGCAGUAGGGAAUCUUCGGCAAUGGACGGAAGUCUGACCGAGCAACGCCGCGUGAGUGAAGAAGGUUUUCGGAUCGUAAAGCUCUGUUGUAAGAGAAGAACGAGUGUGAGAGUGGAAAGUUCACACUGUGACGGUAUCUUACCAGAAAGGGACGGCUAACUACGUG
rnacentral:rRNA from 1 species